rnacentral:rRNA from 1 species
GAUGAACGCUGGCGGCGUGCCUAAUACAUGCAAGUCGAGCGAACAGACGAGGAGCUUGCUCCUCUGACGUUAGCGGCGGACGGGUGAGUAACACGUGGAUAACCUACCUAUAAGACUGGGAUAACUUCGGGAAACCGGAGCUAAUACCGGAUAAUAUAUUGAACCGCAUGGUUCAAUAGUGAAAGACGGUUUUGCUGUCACUUAUAGAUGGAUCCGCGCCGCAUUAGCUAGUUGGUAAGGUAACGGCUUACCAUGGCAACGAUGCGUAGCCGACCUGAGAGGGUGAUCGGCCACACUGGAACUGAGACACGGUCCAGACUCCUACGGGAGGCAGCAGUAGGGAAUCUUCCGCAAUGGGCGAAAGCCUGACGGAGCAACGCCGCGUGAGUGAUGAAGGUCUUCGGAUCGUAAAGCUCUGUUAUUAGGGAAGAACAAAUGUGUAAGUAACUAUGCACGUCUUGACGGUACCUAAUCAGAAAGCCACGGCUAACUACGUG